CCUACGGGUGGCAGCAGUGAGGAAUAUUGGUCAAUGGUCGGGAGCCUGAACCAGCCAAGCCGCGUGAGGGAUGAAGGUACAGAGUAUCGUAAACCUCUUUUGUCAGGGAACAAAGGCGGGGACGUGUCCCCGGCUGAGUGUACCUGACGAACAAGCAUCGGCUAACUCCGUGCCAGCAGCAGCGGUAAUCCGGAGGAUGCGGGCGUUAUCCGGUUUUAUUGGGUUUAAAGGGUGCGCAGGUGGUCUGGUGAGUCAGGGGGUAAAGCCCGGGGCUCAACCCCGGGCCUGCGGUUGAUACGGGCAGGCUGGAGUUGGAGAGAAGUAUGCGGAAUGCGCGGUGUAGCGGUGAAAUGCAUAGAUAGCGCGAAGAACUCCGAUUGCGAAGGCAGUAUGCCGGGUCCACACUGACGCUGAGGCACGAAAGCGUGGGUAUCGAACAGGAUUAGAUACCCGAGUAGUC
rnacentral:rRNA from 1 species